UACAGAGGUCCCGAGCGUUGUUCGGAUUCAUUGGGCGUAAAGGGUGCGUAGGCGGCUUUCUAAGUCUGAUGUGAAAUCCCGGGGCUCAACCCUGGAAUUGCAUUGGAUACUGGGAGGCUAGAGUACUGGAGAGGAAACUGGAAUUUACGGUGUAGCAGUGAAAUGCGUAGAGAUCGUAAGGAAGACCAGUGGCGAAGGCGAGUUUCUGGACAGUUACUGACGCUGAGGCACGAAGGCCAGGGGAGCAAACGGG
rnacentral:rRNA from 1 species